AGAGGAAUGAUGGCAUUGGAUACUGUUUGAAGGACUUAACUAAGUUGGGAAUUAGCUGCGACCUCCAUCAUGCCGUCCAAGCCUGCCCCAAUCAAGAAGGCGGCCAAGAAAGAACCAGCCAAGAAGGAGGAGAAGGCUCCAGAGCCGGCUCCGGAGCCCGUCCCGGAACCAGCACCCGCUGAGCCCGUGGAAGCCGUCCCGGCUGAAGGAGAGGCUCCCCCAGCUGAGGAGGGUGCUCCCCCCGCAGAAGCUGCUGCUGCUCCGGCCACAGAGGAAGCUGCUCCCGCUGCUGAAGCGCCUGCUGAGGGUGAGGCUGCACCUGCACCUGAGGAGCCUAAACCACCUACUCCACCACCACCCAAAGAGCCAACAAGUGCUCCCGUGGAUCUGUUUGUUGAGGACAAAAAUGACAACUCAGUCACCAUCAUUUGGAGCCAGCCUGCGAACAUUGGGCCCACCGGUCUGGAUGGAUACGUCAUUGAAAUCUGCAAGGACGGAACCGAGGACUGGAAAGCAGUUAACGAGGAGCUGCAGAAGUCCUCUCGCUAUGUUAUCAAGAACCUGACCACGGAUGAUCGUCUAAAGAUCCGAGUCGUGGCUGUGAACGAAGGAGGCCGCAGCACCCCCGUCACCCUCCCCGAGGCUGUUCUGGUCAAGGAGGUCGCAGACCGUCCCAAGGUCCGCCUGCCUCGUUUCCUCAGGCAGAGAUACGUCGCUCACGUCGGGGAGAAGAUCAACCUGACCAUCCCUUUCACAGGCAAGCCCAAACCCGUGGUGACUUGGACGAAGAAUGGACAGCCCUUGGACCCAAAGAGGGUGAACAUCCGCAGCACGGAGAGAGAUAGCAUCCUGUUUAUCCGCGCGUCGGAGAGAGAGGACUCCGGUGUGUACGAGAUGACCGUGAAGGUGGAGGGCUUUGAAGAUAAGACCUCCAUCACUCUUCAGAUUGUUGAGCUUCCGGGGCCUCCUGCCAGCGUGAAGAUUGUUGAUACCUGGGGCUUCAACGUUGCUUUGGAGUGGACCCCGCCCACAGACAAUGGAAACACUGAGAUCACAGGAUACACGAUCCAGAAGGCCGACAAAAAGACUGGAGACUGGUUCACUGUGCUGGAGCACUACCACAGGCUGAACGCCACCAUCUCUGACCUCAUCAUGGGCAACACCUACAAGUUCAGAGUGUUUUCUGAAAACAAGUGUGGAAUGAGCGAGAGUGCUGCUGUUACAAAGGGCGAGGCUAAGAUCCUAAAAACAGGUAUUCAGUACAAACCUCCUGACUACAAGGAGCAUGACUUCACCGAGGCGCCCAAGUUCACCACCAAUCUGAGCGACAGAAGCACCACCGUGGGCUACAGCACCAAGCUGCUAUGCUCCGUCAGGGGAUUCCCUAAGCCCAAGGUUGAAUGGAUGAAGAACCAGAUGAUCAUUGGAGACGAUCCUAAAUUCAGGCAGAUCUGCGUCCAGGGAAUUUGUUCUCUGGAGAUCCGAAAACCCGGUAACUUUGACGGCGGCGUGUACACCUGCAGAGCCAAGAACGAUCACGGAGAAGCAGUCGUCAGCUGCAAGCUGGAGGUCAAACAACCAGCAAAUCCAGAUGCAGAGAAGAAAUAGAGAACGUCCUCUCAGUCACAGGAGCAGAAGGUACGAAGCCUUUGUAGCAUAAGGAAGGUGUCGGAUUCCUGGACGAACAUGUAUAUACAGCUGGUGACCACCACCAAUGGAUUGUAGCCUGUGAACGCUUACCAACUUCUGUUUAGAUGAACAGUUGUUAUCAUCACUUCAUGCAUUCGUCAUAAAGUCCAUAUCCAUGUCCACCAAGUCUUUCACUUUCAUUUGAGUCACUCCAGCACCCUUUAGUGGUUACCGUCACAUGAUCAAACCCUAUUCUCGCCUACUGAAACAUCUCGUUAGUCUUACUUAAAUCAAUUUACUGUUCCUCAUAGGAGAGCUACAUGUAACAUCUAUGUGUUUAUAUCAAUAAACCGAUCAGUUUCUGA